UCUCUAGACUCUUGAGUUUGGGUGAUGAGAAAGAGUAAUCCUCAUGGUCUUUAAGUUCUGUUUCACAUGAUUACAACACACUCCUGAGACUCAGAUCUGGAUCCAGAGUCAGGAGAAAUUAUAAAACAAAAAUGAACAAGCCAAAGCAAUCCCCAGCUUUUCUGACCUGCAUCCACAACACACAGCACCAAAGGGAUCCCCCAACAGCAACCAAUUUCUUACUCAACCCUCAGGUCCUUAGAAAGCUUUUCAUGAGGCUCAGGGAAUUUGAAAGCAGAUUCUUCAUUAUUGUGAGACUCACUGUGAGUGAUGGGCAGAAAUUAGGUUUCUAAUCAAAAAAACAGCAUUUGUAACCCAAGAGAAGGGAACCAGAGAAUAAGAACAAGACUGUUGCUCAGCCCUCCUCUCCUUGGCAUAGCAUUCAUUAUAAUAAAUGCCAAUAUCCAGUGCCCCAUCUCUACACCAAACUAUAGUGUUCUUCUUGGAGAGCCCUCUCAAUAAGUUAAGUUUUCCAUCUUGAAGGCAGAUAACGGUCAUCUAGCUGACAACUUUCCCUUCCUUAUCUCAACUCUGUCCCUGAAUCUUUUGGAUGGGGACUUGGAGCUCAGUUUCCCAUCAGCAGUUCGACUAUUAUUAGCUUCAAAGGGAACUGAGACUCUACUCAACCCCUGGCCUCAUCAAGGGCAUCUUUGUAGUUCUAUGAGCUGCCAGGUCUCUAGGUUGAGACACAAGACUGGGGAGGCAAGGCGCAGAUGUGUGAGUCCAGGCCCCAGGACCAGCCCCAGGCUGGUUACCCGUAAGGCAGUGUCACAAUGUGCUCCUGGGACACCCGACAGAUGUUUUUUGGAACUGGCACCGAACUCUUCGUGGAACCCCAAACUCAGCCUCCUACCAAACCAUCCGUUUUCAUCAUGAAAAAUGGAACAAAUGUUGCUUGUCUGGUGAAGGAUUUCUAUCCCAAGGAUGUAAAUAUAAAUCUCAAAUCAUCUAAGAAGAUAGUAGAAUUUGACCCUGCUAUAGUCGUCUCCCCCAGCGGGAAGUACAGUGCUGUCAAGCUUGGUCGGUAUGAAGAUCCAAAUUCAGUGAGGUGUUCAGUUCAACACAACGGUGAAAUGGUGUACUCCACUGAGUUUGAAUUGAACACAACUUCAGUUGAUAAUCAAAAUGAAGUGAGUCCUAAAAACAAUUCUAAAACUUCAGAGAGCUGCCAUAAACCAAGAGUGCAUGCUGAGAAGGUGAACACGAUGUCCCUCACAGUGCUAGGACUACGAAUGCUGUUUGCUAAGAGCAUUGCCAUCAAUUUUCUCUUGACUGCCAAGUUAUUUUUCUUCUAAGGCUGACUGGCACGAGGAAGCUGCGCUCCCAGAAGGAAACCAAAAGCUUGCGAAGACGCUGUCUCCUAGGCUUCGGCCUUAUUUAAACUGCUGCUAAUCAAACCAAUUUCCCGUUAAAGGCAACAACCCCACUUCAUUCUUAGCCUGGUAGAAAACAAAAGUCCUGGGAAUGGGAGUUUAUGGUCCUAACUAUUUUACAUGCUGCUUUAUACAGUGACUGAAAGAUAUAAAAAAUAUAUAGGACCUAUUUUAUUUUAUUCCUAUACCUGAUACACUUUGAAAAUGAUCUUUCAUUCCAUUUUUACUUUCUUUAAUUCAACAAAUAGAAAGAGGGGAGCAACAGGUCACCAACUCCAUUCCCCAUGAGGAAAAUAGGCCAGGAGGAGGAAAACUGGUGUCCCUUUACCUACACAGGGAAGACUCUGCUCAGCCCAGCACUAGAUUUAUCCCAAACCAGCAUCCUUGUGUUCCUCUCCUGUGGUUUACUCCACCCUCUAUAUUCACACUAGAGAUUUGACAUGGCAGUAAGGGGUGGAGGGCCAAUUUCAGCACUUUCUGCUUUUCCUGGUACUUUACAAAUGAAAUUACAUUUGACUUCCCUAAUACUCUCUAAGCAGGCAAUGGGGUUUUAAAUUCUCAUCUAAAUACUCUCCAUUCUAUUAGCAAAGAUCAGAGUAAAAUACAAAGGAAAGGCACUUCUUUCUGUUAACUGAUUUAACAUACAUGGACUGACUCCCUCUAAGUCUCAAGCACUGUACUGAAAGAAGAUGAAUAAGAUAUGGGGCCUGCUUUCAAGCAAUUCAUUAUGCAAGUGUGUUUGGAGUGAGGGAUAGGAGUGAGACCUCUAUUUUCCCUGUUUAU